rnacentral:rRNA from 1 species
GACGAACGCUGGCGGCGUGCUUAAUACAUGCAAGUCGAACGGAAAGGCCCUGCUUUUGUGGGGUGCUCGAGUGGCGAACGGGUGAGUAACACGUGAGUAACCUGCCCUUGACUUUGUGAUAACUUCAGGAAACUGGGGCUAAUACCGGAUAGGAGCUCCUGCUGCAUGGUGGGGGAUGGAAAGUUACGGCGGUUGGGGAUGGAAUCGCGGCUUAUCAGCUUGUUGGUGGGGUAGUGGCUUACCAAGGCUUCGACGGGUAGCCGGCCUGAGAGGGUGACCGGCCACAUUGGGACUGAGAUACGGCCCAGACUCCUACGUGAGGCAGCGGUGGGGAAUAUUGCGCAAUGGGCGGAAGCCUGAUGCAGCAACGCCGCGUGCGGGAUGACGGCCUUCGGGUUGUAAACCGCUUUCGCCUGUGACGAAGCGUGAGUGACGGUAAUUGGUAAGGAAGCACCGGCUAACUACGUG